GCCAGCAGCCCAACUCACAACUGGCAACCCACUGAAGCUAAGCAGGUGUGAGCCUGGUCAGUACCUGGAUGGGAGACCUCCUGGAAAAAACUAAGGUUGCUGCUGGAA
rnacentral:rRNA from 1 species